rnacentral:rRNA from 1 species
GACUGUGCAAAGGUAGCAUAAUUAUUUGUCUUUUGAUUGAAGACUGGCAUGAAUGGUUGAAUGAAAUAUAUACUUUUUUUAUUUUUUUCUUAAAAUUUAAUUUUUUAGUUAAAAAGCUAAAAUAGAGUUAAGGGACGAGAAGACCCUAUAGAACUUUAUUACUUAAUGUUUAAGUUAUGUUUAUUGAUGAUUAUGGCUUAUAUUGAUGUAAUUUGAUUGGGGUGAUUGGAAAAAAUUUUUAACUUUUUUUUGUUAAAUUCAUUUAUUUAUGAUGUUAUUGAUCCAAUAUUUUUGAUUAAAAGAUUAAGUUACCUUAGGGAUAACAGCGUUAUUUUUUUAGAGAGUUCUUAUCGAUAAAAGAGUUUGCGACCUCGAUGUUGGAUUAAAAUAAGUUAUAGGUGUAGAGGUUUAAAUUAACUAAGUUUGUUCAACUUUUAAUUUUUUACA